rnacentral:rRNA from 1 species
AGCGAACAUUGGCGGUAGGCUUAACACAUGCAAGUCGAGCGAGGCGUAAUAGUCGAGCGGCGAACGGGUGAGUAAUACAUGGAAAUCUACCCUGAAGUGGGGGAUAACGUCCAGAAAUGGACGCUAAUACCGCAUAAUCCAUAUUGGGAAAGCGUUGCAGCGCUUUAGGAUGAGUCCAUGGCUGAUUAGCUUGUUGGUGAGGUAACGGCUCACCAAGGCAACGAUCAGUAGCUGGUCUGAGAGGAUGACCAGCCACACUGGAACUGAGACACGGUCCAGACUCCUACGGGAGGCAGCAGUGGGGAAUUAUGCGCAAUGGGGGCAACCCUGACGCAGCCAUACCGCGUGAGUGAUGAAGGUCUUCGGAUUGUAAAGCUCUUUCGGCGGGGACGACGAUGACGGUACCCGCAAAAGAAGUCACGGCUAACUUCGUGCCAGCCGCCGCCGUAA